rnacentral:rRNA from 1 species
UUUAGAGGAAGUAAAAGUCGUAACAAGGUUUCCGUAGGUGAACCUGCGGAAGGAUCAUUAGUGAAUCUUCAAAGUCGGCUCGUCGGAUUGUGCUGGUGGAGACACAUGUGCACGUCUUGCGAGUCGCAAACCCACACACCUGUGCAUCUAUGACUCUGAGUGCUGCUUUGCAUGGCCUUGAUCGGCCUGGCGCUCGAGUACUUUUCACACUCUUGAAUGUAACGGAAUGUCUUGUUGUGCGUAAUGUACAAAUCAAAACAACUUUCAACAACGGAUCUCUUGGCUCUCGCAUCGAUGAAGAACGCAGCGAAAUGCGAUAAGUAAUGUGAAUUGCAGAAUUCAGUGAAUCAUCGAAUCUUUGAACGCACCUUGCACCCUUUGGUAUUCCGAAGGGUGCACCCGUUUGAGUGUCAUUGUAAUCUCACUAUGAUUGACUUUAUGUCUUUCUGUAUGUGGACUUGGAUGUUGCUGUGGAUAUCUAUGGCUCGUCUGAAAUGCUUCAGUGUACCCCGCGAUGCGGCGUAUUCGGUGUGAUACAUCUUCACCGGAGUUGAUCCUUUGUUGGGUCGUGUCUGUAACGUGUGGCUCUAUGCUUCGAACCGUCUUGAUAGGACAAUCUCUGACAAUUCGACCUCAAAUCGGGUGGGACUACCCGCUGAACUUAAGCAUAUCAAUAAGCGGAGGAAAAGAAACUAACAAGGAUUCCCCUAGUAACGGCGAGUGAAGAGGGAAAAGCUCAAAUUUUGAAUCUGGUGUCUUUGACUCCCGAGUUGUAAUCUAGAGAAGUGUUUUCCGUGUCGGACCGUGCACAAGUUCCCUGGAACGGGGCGUCAUAGAGGGUGAGAAUCCCGUAUAUGGCACGGACUGCCGAUGCAUUUGUGAUACACUCUCAACGAGUCGAGUUGUUUGGGAAUGCAGCUCAAAAUGGGUGGUAAAUUCCAUCUAAAGCUAAAUAUUGGCGAGAGACCGAUAGCGAACAAGUACCGUGAGGGAAAGAUGAAAAGCACUUUGGAAAGAGAGUGAAACAGUACGUGAAAUUGUUGAAAGGGAAGCGUUUGAAGUCAGUCGUAUCCGGCGGGAUUCAGCCAGGCUUUUGCCCGGUGUACUUCUCGUCGGAUGGGUCAGCAUCAAUUUCGACCGGGGGAGAAAGGCAUGGGGAAUGUGGCUGUCUUCGGGCAGUGUUAUAGCCCCGCGUUGUAUGCCUCGGUUGGGAUUGAGGAACGCAGCGCGCCUCAUGGCCAGGGGUUCGCCCUUUGACACGCGCUUAGGAUGCUGGCAUAAUGGCUUUAAGCGACCCGUCUUG